AGUGUGUUUAUACGAGCAUUGUUAAUAAGUUUGUUCAGUUUGAUCGAAUCAAUAAGUCAGUUUCAGACUAAGUUACUCGCAAUUUACAAUAUUUCAAGAUUAAAACUUCAGGUGCGUAAAGGGAAAACGUGGGACCAUGUAAAUCAUAGGAAAAGUGUGACAGAGCGAUAACGAGAAUCGGAAUACCAAGGAAGGAUGAUAGGGAGAAUAGGACCGAAACGGAGGGUGACUCGAAAAGAUGAGCGGUAGAAAGAGGAAGGGAACGAAGGAAAGGAAAGGGAAGAAAGGAAGGAAGGAAGGAAGGAAGGAAACAAGGAGCAAAAGAGAAGAGAUAGGAACGGAAUGGCAUUUGCACUGGCUCCCGGCCAAAUCCCACCUCAUCAAAAUGUCGGAAAGACGGCUCCGGACGACGACGACGACGAGGAGGACGAGAGUAGGAGGCAACACGGUCUGAAUGUCAUCCCUUGAGGAACUGUCCCUACGAGAUCUCUGGCUACUAGUAGAGAAAAGAGGAAAAUAAGACACGAGGUAUUCGCGGAGUGGCUUUGGGAUACUUUUUUUUUUUGCCUGAUGUAAGAUAGAAAAAAAAAAGAAAAAAAGAAGAUACGACAAAUACGAUAGAAAUAAGGAAGUCAUCACUCACGUGACCACCAUUAACGUCCCCAUACCAUGUCCUUUUUUCGUUAUAUUUAUAACCAGUCUUGAGACUAUUAAAUGGCCAUAGGAGUGAAACACCAA
rnacentral:lncRNA from 1 species